AUUGAACGCUGGCGGCAUGCCUUACACAUGCAAGUCGAACGGCAGCACGGGUGCUUGCACCUGUUGGCGAGUGGCGAACGGGUGAGUAAUACAUCGGAACAUGUCCUGUAGUGGGGGAUAGCCCGGCGAAAGCCGGAUUAAUACCGCAUACGAUCUACGGAUGAAAGCGGGGGACCUGCGGGCCUCGCGCUAUAGGGUUGGCCGAUGGCUGAUUAGCUAGUUGGUGGGGUAAAGGCCUACCAAGGCGACGAUCAGUAGCUGGUCUGAGAGGAUGACCAGCCACACUGGGACUGAGACACGGCCCAGACUCCUACGGGAGGCAGCAGUGGGGAAUUUUGGACAAUGGGCGAAAGCCUGAUCCAGCAAUGCCGCGUGUGUGAAGAAGGCCUUCGGGUUGUAAAGCACUUUUGUCCGGAAAGAAAUCCUUGGCCCUAAUACGGUCGGGGGAUGACGGUACCGGAAGAAUAAGCACCGGCUAACUACGUG
rnacentral:rRNA from 1 species